rnacentral:rRNA from 1 species
GAUGAACGCUGGCGGCGUGCCUAAUACAUGCAAGUCGAGCGAACAGAUAAGGAGCUUGCUCCUUUGACGUUAGCGGCGGACGGGUGAGUAACACGUGGGUAACCUACCUAUAAGACUGGGAUAACUUCGGGAAACCGGAGCUAAUACCGGAUAACAUUUGGAACCGCAUGGUUCUAAAGUGAAAGAUGGUUUUGCUAUCACUUAUAGAUGGACCCGCGCCGUAUUAGCUAGUUGGUAAGGUAACGGCUUACCAAGGCGACGAUACGUAGCCGACCUGAGAGGGUGGUCGGCCACACUGGAACUUGGACACGGUCCAUACUCCUACGGGAGGCAGCAGUAGGGAAUCUUCCGCAAUGGGCGAGAGCCUGACGGAGCAACGCCGCGUGAGUGAUGAAGGGGUUCGGCUCGUAAAACUCUGUUAUUAGGGAAGAACAAACGUGUAAGUAACUGUGCACGUCUUGACGGUACCUAAUCAGAAAGCCACGGCUAACUACGUG